UCCCUGGUGGUCCAGUGGUUAGGAUACGGCACUUUCACUGUGGUGGCCCAGGUUCAGUCCCUGGUCGGGGAA